GGUUAAAAUGAUUUUGAGGUUAAAUUCUACUGCAAUUUUUACUCUUCCUAAUGCUAUUUUAGAAUUUUUCUUACCACAUUUUUUAUGUUUAUUGCCAUAACAGAAUGAGCAGAGUCAGGGAGGAGAUGGAUCAGAGGCCAGCAGCAGGGACAAGGAUGUAGGGUCUUUACAGGGAUCAUUUCAGCAUUCCUGCACGGCCACCUGUUUGGAGCCAGCAUUGAGUACAUCUGUUCCUACCUGCCAUGUUUGGACACCAAGAGUUCUACAUUUUUUGCUGAAACUCACUGACAAGCAGCACAAUCCUUGGCUUACUGAAUGGAUGAUGACUACCUCCAUGAGAGACCACUACCUAAAGAUCCUGAAUUCCAGACAGGAGCUGACUGGUGUUGGACCCAGUCUGGGGAACAAGUGGAGCUUCUGUGACGUCCAGGAGCACGUAGACUCUGCUGGUGACACUUCUGGGUCGCAGAAACAAUGACAGGCGGAUAAUGCAACACAGCUCACCUGUUCCUUUAGCAGCAGGGCCAUGCGGUCCACCAUCUGAUUCCCAUCAAGUGAAGUGGCAGCAAUGUAGAGAAAGAGGCCGUAGAGGACGGGCUUGGGGAUCCACUGCAGAGGAAUUGGCAGCAUGAACGCAGACAGACCGAUCAGGAUGUUGGCCACCAAUGAGAGGUGUCCGUUCUCUACGUGCUGUUCUACUUUGGCGAGCUGACGGGCGUGCAGAGAGGAAUGUGGGAAGGCAGCGUGCAUCCAUGGCAACCCCAGACAGGACAUGAGGAUGUUGAUGAACCCAGUCAGCACUAAGUCCCA